UACAGAGGGUGCGAGCGUUAAUCGGAAUUACUGGGCGUAAAGCGCACGUAGGCGGCUUAGUAUGUCGGGUGUGAAAUCCCCGGGCUCAACCUGGGAACUGCAUCCGAAACUGCCUUGCUAGAGUAUGGGAGAGGGAAGUGGAAUUUCCGGUGUAGCGGUGAAAUGCGUAGAUAUCGGAAGGAACAUCAGUGGCGAAGGCGACUUCCUGGACCAAUACUGACGCUCAGGUGCGAAAGCGUGGGGAGCAAACAGGG
rnacentral:rRNA from 1 species